GUGCCGCUGAUCGCCGGUGGAGUCUUUCAGUUUCUUUUGGACCGCCGUGAGCGCGGGCAGCGGAUGCCGAUCGGCGCGAUGCGCGUGUGAAAGUUCGCCGCGUGCAAAUCCUCUACAUGUGCGGAUCGUCCGGAUGAGAGACGGAAAGGAGUAAGAGAGAAGGAGAGAAGGACGGAGAAAGGUAUAAUUACGCGAUACACGACGAACAUGUAAAAAUCGAUGAACGGGAUCAUUCAACCGGGCACAGGUAUCUCUCUCCCUCCCUCCUCCUUUUCCGCGUGUCUUCAGAACGACCUGACGAUCGCACGCGCGCUUCACGCGAGCUGCGGCCGCGAGCACUUAAACACUCGUUAAGAAAAGCAAGAGGGAAACGUGUCUGUCCAACUACUUUGUUAUUCGCCACGCGAGAAAUCACCGCGAACUCUCGGUGCUCCGUGAAUGUUACUUAAUCGAUGAUAGCGGUGCACGAUUGUAACACAUAAACAUUGGCGAACGUGCCGUGCCGAUGUGAAAGCGGCUGGCUGCUGACCGUCUGGCUGCCGAUGAUGGAAUGUACGACGACCCAGAGUUACAGCAUGUGCAUUGAUCCACGUAUCCUAGGAAGUCACGAGGUCCGUCGAUACCGAAAGCGCAGCUGAUCGAGCAUGCGGCGACGGUUGUUGGCCUUUGAUGAGCCUCCGAUCUCUGCGGUAGCAUCCGAAUGCCACCGAGUG